GACCCUUUCUCACAAGCGCUUGCUUUGAACCGUGGAGCCUAGGCAUCACAUUGGCCAGGAAGCCCUUUGGAACGAGGUGUCUUGUGUUGACGUCUGGACCUGUCCAGACGCACAUCAAGACUGAUGGUAGCACGUGGGCCAGAAUGGUGGGACUUUCUGUUCUUUAUGUGCAAGGCGAGGAGCCCUCCUUUCCUGUGGAAGAGGCUGUGGUGGUCGGUCUAUCCUCCUCAGGAGCCUGACGAUGUUGAGAAGAAAAGACCCGAGAGACAUCAAACAUGGGUGGCCUGGGCUGCGAUCCCUGCUCUGGUACCCGUGGUCAUUAGACCCUGUCCAAGGCAUCUUUGGAAAGGGCCGGUUCCCAGGGAGGUGCUCAGAAGUUCAUUUCCUUCUUUUGCAGACCCUCAAGGGUCUCCUGAGGCCCUGAAGAACUGGAGGAGUCAAAGCGGAAGCAAGGACUGACGCUGGCUCCAAUAGGUUACUUACCCCAGGGUCAGUGUCCCCAGCUAGGUAUACCUACCUGCCCUUACGGUGAGGAGUGUCUUGUUCAGCCUCCUACGAGAGGUCCUAGCAUAGGUGACCCGAUGGGAGAGAAAUGGACACCUGGCCUGACCACUGCGUCCAUGUGCACCCUACCUCCUGUUAGUCCCACCCACCCCCAUCAGGUCUGAAAGAGGCACCCUGUUUCUUUCCUCUUUGGCCUUGACUGGGGUCAUGGUACUCAGGGAGAGCUCUGGAGGCUCUGGAAUCCUGGCUUUGCUUUUAGAACGUAGAGUUCUUGUUGAGGGCUCCUCAGAAAUCAGUAUACUCAGAGUUACGUGCUCCAUAGAAAUGUAGGUGGGGUCAAUAGGUUGGGGACCCACGAAUGUCUGGGAGGGGCAGCAUCCAGUCAGGCUUUCUGGGGGAUGGGGAAAAGGCAAGUUUAGGUGGUGGAUUGGGUCCCACUAUCAUCAGGAGAGUGGUUGGCCAGAAGGGAGGUUGACAUGAGUAUGAGGCAGAGAUGGUAAGGGUUCAGGCACUGGGCCCCUCAAGGAUGCUUGCUUAGGGACAAAUCUCAGGGACCCAGCUUCUUCUCUGGGGGAUGGCCAUGACCUUGCAGAGGUUUUAGAAUGAGAAGCCCUGCCUGGCUUUCUGUGUUCUGUGAAGAACAGGUCAUAGCAACCUCUGGCAAGGAGCCAAUGGUGCUUCUCUUCCCCUGCUCUCAGACAGCAGCUGCUGGCCUUCCUGCAAUUUCAGAUCUGGUUCUGACGGACUUAGGGAAGGCUGUGCUUCUCUCUGGAACUGAGGGACCAGAGAGAAAAAAACAAGGGUGGCAGAGAUGAUAGAAUACACAGGUCGAGGGGACCGAGGGCAGUACCACAGAGGACGCGGCUGUCUUAGGAGGCCUGGGUUGCUCAGGGAAAUUGGGAUGCAGUUGCCAGAAAGGUGACAAGGACUUAGGAUAAGAUGCACAGCUGUCCUCGGCAGGGGCCAGGACUUGCUGCCAGGCUCCAUGCUGAUGUUUUUCCUUCUGCCUGAGAACGGAGGGCUCCCCUGUCCUUGAGUGUGGCCAUCUGCACAGAUGCCCCUGUUCCUGUCUGAGCACCCUUGGUGGCUGCUGGCAGAGGUGAAGAGUUUCAGGAGGCUGAGUAACGACCACUGGAGACGUUGUUCAUCUUCUCAUCUCUGGGCACUGUGAGCACGUGGCCUCCCAUGGCGAUGGGGACCAGCAAGGGUAAAUUAGGAGCCUGAAGUAGGGGCCUACCCUGGCUUAUCCAUGUAAACCAGGCAUGUGCUACACAAUGGCAGUGUUUCCAUCAAUGACUAAUCAGAGGAUAAAAGCAAGCUGAAAAGCCCAUCACUUUGUGUCUCCUUAGCUGUCCUAACAGCAUAGCACAAUGCUUUACUCAUGGUGAGGCUGACAUAGAUAAAGCAUUGCAUAGCUCGCCGUUGCUAAGUGCAGCAUGCAUGACUAUGGGUGGGACCAAGAACUUUAUAGUAACCAGAAGUAGCCAGGGGACCCAGUUUAUAUAUUGCUAUACUAUAAUACUGAUUGCUAUUUUAGGGUAUACUCUGUAUACUUACGAAAAAGAAUUUACUGCAAACGUUUGUUUGACUUACCACACUACAGUGUUCACACUGUCGUGCUGGGCCGUUCUGGCAUUGUUCUGGGAGGGUGUCCUCACCGCGAAGGUGACAUGGUGAUGAUGAGGGGGCAGGCAGAAGAGGUUGGAGGGGUGCUGUGAUUCUGUCUGGAAGCAAGGAUGUAGACAGUCUCUAGAAGCGAGGAAAGGCCAGGAGCCCCUCAAGUGGCACAUCCUUGCCUGCACCAUAAUUUAGCUCUUUGGGGCCCCACUCAGCCUCCUGACUGAACUGGCAUCCAUGUUGUUUAAGCCCUCACGUCUGUGGUUGUUUGUUAGAGCAGCAGAAGAAAUGGAAUAAACACUGUUGUGGCUGACCUGUCGCUUUGUGGAUGCCGUGCUUCAUAAUGAGCUCUUAUUUCAUCAGCCAAAGAUAGAACCGUCUCCUAAAGGGUCCCCACUAAUGGUCUCCUUACCCACCAUCAGCCCCACCAAACUGGGCAGGCUGGCCAUGAGCUGACAUCUGCGACUGUCUGGGGUCUACCUUGGACCUUCUGCUCCGUCAAGACGUUUCCUCACUUCUCAUAGGACUCAGCUUCAGGGCUGUCUCCCUAGAGAAGUCUGACACACUCCCCUUUGAUACUUUAUCAGCUCCCUUUCUGCACACUUCCUACUGAUAUGGAUCACACUGGCGUGCAGAAGAGACAGCCCUUGUCUUCAAGGGGAGCUGACCACCAUGAUGGAAGCCUGGUCAGGAUCACCCUGCAGAACCUUCAUUUAUCAGAACCACAGGGCCGCGGACUGCCGGGAUGCUGGGUAGUGCUCUAGGGAGCACUAAACUCUUGGGAGCAGCUCUGAGAGCACAGCCUUGGCCUUGGCACAGUCGGAAGUAUGAAAAUUCUCCUGAAUCCCAAAACUGGGACCUAGGUCAUGGAAUUGCCUACCUGUGCAGCAGUGCAUGACUGAGAUAAAGGUUAUAGAGAAGAAACGAGCUCCCCACCAUUUCAUUCCACUUGUAGAAACACCUUAAACUUCUGUGUCGCUAGUCAAUAGAAAUGUGGGGAUUUCCCCUUUCCCAGCAAGCAGUCCUGCAAAUUCUGCAGCAGGCACGAACAGCUGCCUUUAAUUCAGAACUGACAUGGCCUUUUUCCGAGGGAGUGGUAGCUGCUGCAAGCUGAGCUCUCAGCCCCGAGACCAACCCCCACUUCAGAUGCCAGUCUUGGGCACAGACUGUGGCCUGAGCUCCUGAGAUACUGGCUGCAGACUGGAUUUUCAUGGUCACACCUCUGCGUUUGAUGACUUUGUUAAUGGGGCUUACAUAAUUCAGGAAGACAUGUUUGCUAGCUUACCUGCUGACGAGCAGCAGACAGAGCGAUGGGCAGGACAAGGCGUGAAGGGAGGGACUAGGGGCUUCAGGUGUCCCCUCCACGGCGUCUACACAGAUUCUGGGAUCUGGAAACCCCAAACCAUGUCUUUUUUUUUUGGAGAGUUCAUUACUCAAACAUGAUUGCAUGCGUCAUGAACCAUCAAUGAAAAGAAUUUAACCUUCAGUCUCUUUCCCUUCCUCGCCAGAGGUUGGGGGAAGGGACUCAAAGUCAUGGCUCGGUCUUUUUAGCGACUAGUACCCAUCCUGAAGUCAUGCCAUGGCCUCUAGAUACCAAUCAUUUAUUGGCAUACAAAAGCUAUCCUUAUUAAUCCCCCAAAGCCACGGAUUUUAGGUGCUCUGUGUCAGGAAACAGAUGAAAGUUAAAUGCAGACUUCACCACGACACGGUCUUGUCUCUUGGUAGCUUACAGUCAGGGUUCUCCUGUGGAGCAGGAAUCUCCAUAGGAUGAAAAUGCAGUACAAAGGGGCUCAGUUGAUUGACUCCCACAAUACAGCCGGAACAGGUUCACAAAGGCUGUCGAUACUCUGUAGAAGCUGGGAACAUGACAGGAGCUUACCCCCUAAGGCUGGAUGCCUCAGCAUUGCCAAUCUGGCACCAAAGGCCUGAAGGAUCCUGGAGAACUACUGGUAUUUCAGGUUGUGUUGGAAGCCCAAAGAAAUUUAAUUCUGAAGACAGCAAAGAACAAUAGCAGCUGCAGCAGCCAUGGCGGUGGUGGCGGCAGCGGUGGCAACAGCAGCAACAGCAGCAACAGCAGCGCAGAUGAACUCAACCAGCAAGACACAAAGACAGGCAGGCACAGAACAACAAUUUUUUUUUUUAAAAAAAUUCACAUUUAAAGUGGGUCUUCUCAUUUCAAUAACGUCAACAAACCUAGCCAAGGCUCCCUCAUAGGGGUGCUCAGAGGACUGACUCAUAGUGGUUCUGGAUCUUGUCAGGCGACAGUCAACAGUCACCAUCAACAGUUUCUAAGUUUGGAGCCUUCAUUCUUUCUAGUCAUCUCUUCACGAUCGCUUUGCUUUCCCCUCUGGUAAAGCAAGCUGCCAUGUGGAGGAAUCUUUGCCAAGGAAACAAGAAUGGUCCCUGAGUGAGAGUCACUGAGGUGCAGAAUCCCUCAGCCAUAGCCUUUGAGAAAGCGACCAACAACCAUUGACUGAGCUUGGUAGCCAAGCAACCCCGCCCUCACGCUGGGAGAUGGGACUAUAGCCCCAGAGGUGAGGUUGACUAUAGCCUCCCCUCCGAGAAAUCGGGGCACAGAAGCCACCUGAGCAGGUGCAAGACUAUUGACCACGUGUGUUGUUUCAAGAAUCUACACUUUCAGCGACGAAUCUGUUGUUUAGACAGCACUGUAGAACUGGCAUACAAAUAAUUGAAUGUGUUCUAUUCUCCGACCUCACAAACAUACAGCUGUACUUCAACAUCAUGGAAGUUUAGUUCUAGAAUCUCCCUAUACAAAAAUGCAAAUUACCUAGGCAAAAUGGUGUCGUGUUUGCAUAUAAUCUCUUUAAUCCUUCCAUAUACUUUAAGUCGCCUUUAUGUAAUUUAUAAUUUGCUAUCCAAUGUAGGUGUAUGCAAAUAACUGUCACACUGUCUUACUUAGGGAAUAGUGUUGAUAAAAAUGUUUGUAUGUUUUCAGUAUGCAAAUUAUACUUUUUUUCA